UUGGAGGGCAAGUCUGGUGCCAGCAGCCGCGGUAAUUCCAGCUCCAAUAGCGUAUAUUAAAGUUGUUGCAGUUAAAAAGCUCGUAGUUGAAUUUCGGGGUCAGUAGGUUGGUCAUGCCACUGGUAUGUACUGGCCUCACUGAUUCCUCCUUCCUGAUGAGCCGUAAUGCCAUUAAUUUGGUGUUGCGAGGAAUCUGGACUGUUACUUUGAAAAAAUUAGAGUGUUUAGAGCAGGCUAACGCUUGAAUACAUUAGCAUGGAAUAAUGAAAUAGGACGUUCGAUCUUAUUUUGUUGGUUUCUAAGAUUGACGUAAUGAUUAAUAGGGAUAGUUGGGGGCAUUAGUAUUCAAUUGUCAGAGGUGAAAUUCUUGGAUUUAUUGAAGACUAACUACUGCGAAAGCAUUUGCCAAGGAUGUUUUCAUUAAUCAAGAACGAAAGUUAGGGGAUCGAAGACGAUCAGAUACCGUCUUAGUCUUAACCAUAAACUAUGCCGACUAGGGAUCGGAUGUUGUUCAUUUUUUAAUGACUCAUUCGGCGCCUUACGGGAAAC
rnacentral:rRNA from 1 species